rnacentral:rRNA from 1 species
AUACGGAGGGUCCAAGCGUUGUUCGGAAUCAUUGGGCGUAAAGCGCGUGUAGGCGGCUUGGCAAGUCGGGUGUGAAAUCCCGGGGCUCAACCCCGGAACUGCACUCGAAACUGCCUCGCUAGAGUCCCGGAGAGGAGGGCGGAAUUCCCGGUGUAGAGGUGAAAUUCGUAGAUAUCGGGAGGAACACCAGCGGCGAAGGCGGCCCUCUGGACGGUGACUGACGCUCAGACGCGAAAGCGUGGGGAGCAAACAGGAUUAGAAACCCCAGUAGUCC